AGCUUUGCACAGUGGCAGUAUUGUAGCCAGUGAGGUUUAUCUGAGGCGUGAUUAUGGCUGAUUGAAAACUUACAUGCCAUCAUUAUUGGUGUCUCUUUUCUGAGUCUCAGCCAGCUGAUUUACUUUUGGCUAAAUUUAGGAAUGGUUGCCAACACC
ensembl:snRNA U4 U4 spliceosomal RNA